ACGAACGCUGGCGGCGUGCCUAAUACAUGCAAGUCGAACGGUCUUUCUAUGGAAGCUUGCUUCCACUGAGAAGAUAGUGGCGAACGGGUGAGUAACACGUGGGUAACCUGCCCAUAAGAGGGGGAUAACAUCCGGAAACGGGUGCUAAUACCGCAUAGUUUUCUUGAUCGCAUGAUUGGGAAAGGAAAGACGGCCUUUGUGCUGUCGCUUAUGGAUGGACCCGCGGCGUAUUAGUUAGUUGGUGAGGUAACGGCUCACCAAGACGAUGAUACGUAGCCGACCUGAGAGGGUGAUCGGCCACAUUGGGACUGAGACACGGCCCAAACUCCUACGGGAGGCAGCAGUAGGGAAUCUUCCGCAAUGGACGAAAGUCUGACGGAGCAACGCCGCGUGAGUGAAGAAAAGGUUUUCGGAUCGUAAAACUCUGUUGUCAGAGAAGAACAAGUUGGAGAGUAACUGCUCCGGCCUUGACGGUAUCUGACCAGAAAGCCACGGCUAACUACGUGCCAGCAGCUGC
rnacentral:rRNA from 1 species